UACGGAGGGUGCGAGCGUUGUCCGGAAUCAUUGGGCGUAAAGGGCGCGUAGGUGGCCCGGUCAGUCCGUGGUGAAAGCGCGGGGCUCAACCCCGCGUCGGCCAUGGAUACUGCUGGGCUGGAGCACUGUAGAGGCAGGCGGAAUUCCGGGUGUAGCGGUGGAAUGCGUAGAGAUCCGGAGGAACACCAGCGGCGAAGGCGGCAUCCUGGACUGGUCCUGACACUCAGGAGCGAAAGCGUGGGGAGCGAUCCGG
rnacentral:rRNA from 1 species